AUCUGAGAGUGUCAAGAACUAUAAAUCAUGCAAGUUAAAUUACUGCUCAUCAGAGAGAAGCUUGCUUAUGUACUAUGGCUCAGAAGAGUAGUUGAAGUUGGUUGCUAAGGCAGCAGUGGGUCAGAGAAUGUUUACAGAACCUGUUCUCAACAGCUAAGGACAAGGACAAAUAAGUGGGACACUUUGAGUGAUGCCCCAAGUAUCAGUUAAUGGGCAUUUCCUUUGUAUUUCUUAGGAAACUGCACUCUGAGUCAGUCAGAAGCAGAAGCCCCAAGUCACCAAAAUGACAGAGUGUGAGGAGGAAAAGGGGAGCAAGUCCUCUGGAAAUGGACAAAAAUGAGGACUCAGCCUAAAAAAUUACAAAACUGGAUUUGGCAGAUUAUAGAAAACUUUAGCAAAGCCUCGUCUAGACUGUCCGUUGGCAGAAGUAAAGCUGCACAUCUUCUUCCAGUCUGGAUCAAAUGUGUCAAAACAACAGGAUUGGGAGGAGAUUUUGUCUUUAAUUAUAUUUUCCCAACAAUUCUGGUGAUGAGAGAAGGACAUCAGGCAGUCCCUGUACUGAGCAGAGCAGCUGAAGCUCUGUGGCCACACAACAGUCAGCACUAUCCAGCACCAACUACAUCUUCUCUCCCUGAGUAAGUGAAUAUUUUACAGAGAAAACUUCCAAUUCCUGCAUGAGUAAUCUCAGUUGACACUUACCUGGUCACACUGCUUCAUGAUUAGUAUUUCAAGAAAAAAAGAAAAUUCUGCCAUAUGUGACAACAUGGAUGAAACUUGAAGACUUCAUGCUUAGUGAAAUAAGCCAGUCACAGAAUGACAAAUACUCCAUGAUUCCACCUAUAUGAGGUACCGAAAAUAGUCAACGUAAUAGAAUCAAAGGUGGGAUGGUGGUUGCCAGGGGCUGGUGGUAGAGAGAAAUGGGGAAUUAAUAAUCAAACGGCAUAAAGUUUCAGCUAAGCAAGAUGAGUACAUUCUAGACAUUUUCUGUAGAACAUUGUACCUAUAGUCAGCAAUAAUAUAUUGUACACUUAAAAAUUUUUUAAGAGGGUGAAAAAAUGGCACUGCUAUUUCCAGUGCUCAACUCUAUGGAUUAUAAUAAACUGAGGAAGUUUAAAACCUAAGAUAAAAAG
rnacentral:lncRNA from 1 species